GACGAACGCUGGCGGCGUGCUUAAUACAUGCAAGUCUAAGGGUUUAUCUUCCUUCGGGGAAGAUAGACACUGGCGCACGGGUGAGUAACACGUAAGUCAUCUGCCCUUGGGUCUGGCACAACUCCGGGAAACCGGGGCUAAUUCCAGAUGAUACCGAAAGGUCAAAGUUUCGACGCCCAAGGAUGAGCUUGCGUCUGAUUAGCUAGUUGGCGGGGUAAUGGCCCACCAAGGCGACGANCAGUAGCCGGUCUGAGAGGAUGAUCGGCCACAUUGGGACUGAGACACGGCCCAGACUCCUACGGGAGGCAGCAGUAAGGAAUAUUGCGCAAUGGACGAAAGUCUGACGCAGCAACGCCGCGUGCAGGAUGACGGCCCUUUGGGUUGUAAACUGCUGUAGCAGGGGAAUAAGAGCCCACUCGGUGGGUGUGA
rnacentral:rRNA from 1 species